rnacentral:lncRNA from 1 species
UAAACACAAAGGCAUGUCCCUGUACAAAACACCUACAGAAGCCAAGAAGCCGGAAUUGCCCCUGGGUGCGCCAGUCCGUGUUCAGAAAAGAAGGCUCCUUUCCAGUUAUUUUGCCANGUGUUCAGAAAAGAAGGCUCCUUUACAGUUGUUUUGCCAACGAGAAAGGGUUGUUGUCGAGCCCUGUGUUUUAUUCUGAAAGAGAACUGAAAAAAGAGGAGCCACAGCCGUUUGUAAAAAAUCAAGGAGGAAUGGAAGAAGAGCCUAUAUAUGAGGACAUGGCAACCGAGGAACAGCCGCAGGAUAGCGAUGUUGAAAACCAGCCGAUAGACCCCGAGUUGUGGAAAGAUGGCGAUAUUGUUACGAUAACCAAGCCUGGGCCAUACAAGAUUACUGCUUUUGUGCAUAACAAACGGCCAACAGUUGCAGAGACAGAAACACCCGAGGAGGCUGCUGAAACUAUGAUUGACGGAGGUGAUUCAGAAACAAAGGACACAAACGGGGUGUCAAUGGUAAAACCCAAAGAACACGACGAGGUAAAAGUUACUUAAAUAAUUUAAAAAAAAAUAUAAAUAUAAACAUAUAUAAGAGUGGUAAAAUAAAACUAUAUGUUUUGUGUUUAAUAACA